GGAGGAGUAGCGAAGUGGCUAAACGCGACGGACUGUAAAUCCGUUCCUUAGGGUUCAGUGGUUCGAAUCCACUCUCCUCCACC
rnacentral:tRNA from 1 species